rnacentral:rRNA from 1 species
CUCGAAAAAAAUAUGAGCUAUAAAUUAAAAUGUUAGUUAAUGUUGUAUAUUUAUUUAUAAUUUAUUUAUAGAAAUGAAAUUUUAUUCAAAUUUUUAUAUAUCUAGUUUUUUAAGAAAUAAGUUUAAUUUAGAAUAUUUAUUUAAAUAUUAUAAUAUUUUUUUUUUAUACUUAUAUAUAUAUAUAAAUAAAUUAAAAAUUUGAUAUUAAAUUUGUAAAUAAAUAUUUAAUAAUUUAAGGGAUAAACUUUAAAUUUAUUUAAAAUGUUUAAAUUAUAAAUAAAUUAAUUAAUUUAAAAUAAUUAAUUAAUAAAAAAUAUAUUAUAAUUUAUUUAUUAUUAAAUAAAUAUUUUUAAAUAUUUAAUAAUAUAACAUAUUUAAUUAAAAUAUUAAAAUAUAAAUAAUAAUAAAAUUUAUUUAUAAAUUAUGGUUAAAUUAGUAAAUUAAUUUAUUGAUAUAUGUAUGCAUAUAUAUAUAUUAAAUAUAGAUAAAUUUAAGGAACUAGGCAAAAAUAAUAUUCGAAUGUUUAUCAAAAACAUAUCAUUUUGAAAAUAAUUUAAUGUUUGGCCUGCCCACUGAAAUUUAAAUGGCUGCAGUAAUUUGACUGUGCAAAGGUAGCAUAAUCAAUUGUUUUUUAAUUUAAAUCUUGAAUGAAUGGUUUAACGAAAUAUUAACUGUCUCAAAUUUAAUAAUAUUUGAAUUUAAAUUUUUAGUAAAAAUGCUGAAAAUAUGGUUAAAAGACGAGAAGACCCUAUAGAAUUUUAUAGUUUAUAUUUAAAUUAAAUUUAUUUAUUAUUUAAAUAUAAAUUAUUUAAUUGGGGAAAUUUUAAAAAAAAAUUUUUAUUAAAUUUAAACAAAAAUUAUUGGAUUUUUGAGUAUUUACUAAUGAAUAAAAGAUAAAAUUACCUUAGGGAUAACAGCAUAAUUUUUUUUGAAAGUUCAAAUUGAUAAAAAAGAUUAUGACCUCGAUGUUGAAUUAAAAUAAAAUUUAAAUGAAGAGAUUUAAAGUUUAGGUCUGUUCGACCUUUAAAAUUUUACAUGAUUUGAGUUCAGACCGGUGUAAGCCAGGUCGGUUUCUAUCUUUAAUUUAAGAUUUUUAAAUUUGUACGAAAGGAAAGUUUAAAAUUAAAUAAUUUAUAUAAAUUGAAUAAAAUUAAUU